rnacentral:rRNA from 1 species
CCUACGGGAGGCAGCAGUGGGGAAUAUUGCACAAUGGGGGAAACCCUGAUGCAGCGACGCCGCGUGAGUGAAGAAGUAUUUCGGUACGUAAAGCUCUAUCAGCAGGGAAGAAAAUGACGGUACCUGACUAAGCAGCCCCGGCUAACUACGUGCCAGCAGCCGCGGUAAUACGUAGGGGGCAAGCGUUAUCCGGAUUUACUGGGUGUAAAGGGAGCGUAGACGGCAGCGCAAGUCUGGAGUGAAAUCCCAUGGCUUAACCAUGGAACUGCUUUGGAAACUGUGCAGCUAGAGUGCAGGAGAGGUAAGCGGAAUGCCUAGUGUAGCGGUGAAAUGCGUAGAUAUUAGGAGGAACACCAGUGGCGAAGGCGGCUUACUGGACUGUAACUGACGUUGAGGCUCGAAAGCGUGGGGAGCAAACAGGAUUAGAUACCCCAGUAGUC